UCCGGUUUGUCACCGGCAGUCUCCCAUGAGUCCCCGACAUUACUCGCUGGCAACAUAGGACAGGGGUUGCGCUCGUUGCGGGACUUAACCCAACACCUCACGACACGAGCUGACGACAGCCAUGCAGCACCUGUGUCCAGGUUCCCUUUCGGGCACCCCUCCAUCUCUGGAGGGUUCCUGGCAUGUCAAGGGUAGGUAAGGUUUUUCGCGUUGCAUCGAAUUAAACCACAUGCUCCUCCGCUUGUGCGGGCCCCCGUCAAUUCUUUUGAGUUUUAGCCUUGCGGCCGUACUCCCCAGGCGGAACACUUAACGCGUUGGCUUCGGCACAGGGGGAUUCGACUCCCCCCACACCUAGUGUUCAUCGUUUACGGCAUGGACUAC
rnacentral:misc_RNA from 1 species